GGAAUAUUGGUCAAUGGACGCAAGUCUGAACCAGCCAUGCCGCGUGAAGGAUGAAGGUCCUCUGGAUUGUAAACUUCUUUUAUCUGGGACGAAAAAAGGGCUUUCUAGCUCGACUGACGGUACCAGAGGAAUAAGCACCGGCUAACUCCGUGCCAGCAGCCGCGGUAAUACGGAGGGUGCAAGCGUUAUCCGGAUUCACUGGGUUUAAAGGGAGCGUAGGCGGGCAGGUAAGUCAGUGGUGAAAUCUCCGGGCUUAACCCGGAAACUGCCAUUGAUACUAUCUGUCUUGAAUAUCCUGGAGGUAAGCGGAAUAUGUCAUGUAGCGGUGAAAUGCUUAGAUAUGACAUAGAACACCCAUUGCGAAGGCAGCUUACUACGGGAUGAUUGACGCUGAGGCUCGAAAGCGUGGGGAUCAAACA
rnacentral:rRNA from 1 species